CCUACGGGGGGCUGCAGUCGAGAAUUAUUCACAAUGGGGGAAACCCUGAUGGUGCGACGCCGCGUGGGGGAAUGAAGGUCUUCGGAUUGUAAACCCCUGUCAUGUGGGAGCAAAUUAAAAAGAUAGUACCACAAGAGGAAGAGACGGCUAACUCUGUGCCAGCAGCCCCGGUAAUCCAGAGGUCUCAAGCGUUGUUCGGAAGCACUGGGCGUAAAGCGUGCGUAGGCUGGUUUGUAAGUCGUGUGUGAAAGGCGCGGGCUCAACCCGCGGAGGGCACAGGAUACUGCGGGACUAGAGUGAUGGAGAGGGAACCGGAAUGCUCGGUGUAGCAGUGAAAUGCGUAGAUAUCGAGAGGAACACUCGUGGCGAAGGCGGGUUCCUGGACAUUAACUGACGCUGAGGCACGAAGGCCAGGGGAGCGAAAGGGAUUAGAUACCCCUGUAGUC
rnacentral:rRNA from 1 species